CCCCUGACUCUCGGGAUUGCUUACCUUGGAGACGCCGGCAAAAGACAACUCUCCGUUGCCGAGCAACCAUGCCGGUCGCUACAGGCGAGCAUUGUGCGGCAUCUGCAGGGUCACUGGAGUGGAGCGGAGCCCCGACCACCUCCCCGGGCCGCUUCCCGCUCCGCCCGGCCCAUUUUCUGAGGCCACUGAGCUGCUGCUCUUGGCACCAGUUGUAGCUCACGGGGCCGCCCAGCUCGACAGCCUUCUACUGCUUCCCAGCCAAGCCCGUCGACCGGUCGGCGGCCUACCCCAGCCACCAUGACCUCCACCGUGGCCGACUCCAGCCCCAGACCUGCCGGCACCUACACCUUCUCCAGCCGGCCCCGAGCCCUGACCUGCCAGCGCCGUCGCUACCGGGACUGCUUCGGGGCGUCAGAAGAAGAACCUAUUCGCUAUGGAAACAUUAUGUAUGACAGAAGGGUUAUACGAGGCAACACUUAUGCUCUGCAUGCAUAUCCACCGACUUCUCAACCUGAUCCCGUUGAGCUCCAAAGGCAGCAGGAGGCCAAGAGGAAAGCUCUUGCCAGAAAGCGAGCCAGAGAACAUCUUCGACCAAGGAGUCCUGAACCUGUAGAAGGCAGAAAGCAUGUUGAUGUACAGACAGAGUUAUAUCUAGAAGAGCUUGCUGACCGCAUAAUAGAAGUUGAUAUGGAAUGUCAAACCGAUGCAUUUCUGGACAGACCACCAACACCACUUUUUAUCCCAGCCAAAACUGGCAAAGAUGUAGCCACCCAAAUAUUAGAAGGCGAGUUGUUUAACUUUGACAUUGAAGUCAAACCAAUGUUAGAAGUUUUGGUGGGAAAGACCAUUGAACAAGCUUUGCUGGAAGUCAUGGAGGAAGAAGAAUUGGCUGAACUACAUUUGCAACAACAACAGUUUGAAGAAUUACGGAAUCUGGAACUUGCAGAAGUACAGCGACUUGAAGAGCAAGAGAGGCGCCACCAGAAAGAAAAGGAACGUCGGAGACAACAACAACUAAUAGUAUUACAUAAACAGAAUGAGACUUCACAGAAAAUUGCAGCUCGAGCAUAUGCUAAGAUUUACCUGGCUGACCUCCUUCCAUCUGUCUUUAGCAACCUCAGAGAUGGUGGCUACUUCUAUGACCCUAUAGAAAGAGAUAUUGAGAUUGGAUUCCUACCAUGGUUGAUGCAUGAAGUAGAUAAGGCAAUUGAAUACAACAUGGUGGGAAGAUUAGUACUCGACAUGUUGAUUCGUGAGGUGGUUGAAAAUAGGUUGAAUAUGUUUGAACAGCUUGGAGUCAAACAGUCAAAGAGUUUCCCUGAUGAAGAUGAGAAAGAAAAGAAAGAAUCAUUGGCAACAGGAGAAGAACAAGUCACAGAGGAGGUCAACCAAGAGGAUUCAGAGCAAACAAAUGUUUCCCAAGAGAAGAAGCCGUCUUUAGAAAAGAAACCGUCGUUAGAAAAGAAACCAUCGUUAGAAAAGAAACCGUCAUUAGAAAAGAAACCGUCGUUAGAAAAGAAACCGUCGUUAGAAAAGAGGGAUUCCUUGGAGAGAAGCGCGUCUUUGGAGAAGAAGAAAUCAAUAGGGAAAGUGCCAUCUGAUGAGAAGAAAGAGCCAUGAGACCAAGUGACUGCCAAACCAUCAAAUAAUCAGCCAACUCCCAAUUUCCUUUGCCUGGAACCUUGAACACCUUGGGGACACCAGGGUCUGAUAGGAGACCUUCAUUCAAGAAGAUCAUUUGUCAUGCUUUGGGAAAAGAAAAGGUUUAACAACAGUUUUCUGGACUCAGCUACAGAUUGUGAAAAUUGUCUUGGGUGGGGGGAAGGGUAAGAAAAAAGUAAAGAUUUAUAUUUUGUGGUUGGUGAAUCAAUCAGUUACCAUGCUCUCUUCAUUUAAUGUCCAUUUUAACAUUAUGAUUUUCAUAUCUAAAUGAAAAAAACCACAGUACACCUUUUACUCAUUCCAAAAUUAAAGAAAGCUCAACAUAAAAAAAUUACACUCCUGACCAUGGCAUUGGCAUUUCUUUUUAUUCUUUUUUGUUGUUACUUAUUUGGUCCAGUUCUCUAUUUCUAUGAGUGUAGGGAAAAUGCCUCUACCAAUACAGACUUGUACUGUCUGGAACUUAUAGUCUCAGGGAGCUUCCAGGGGGUGCUAAGAAAUUAAGAUUCAGAACUUGAACACAGAUUUUCCUGACUCCAACGCCCUUCAUAUACCAUAUUGUGCUGGUAUUUUGAAAAACGUGUUUUGUUCUCUUAAUUACUAAUGAAGUAGGUCCUGAGAAGUCCUAGAAUGCUUCAAGAAAGGGCCUUGGAUACAUAUGUACAGUGUGGAAAUUAUAGCACUUUAUUUCCUUUAUUCAAAGCAUUUUUUUAAACUACUUAGAAUGCACAAUAAAUAAAACUAUUCAGUAUAUUCCCUUUUAUCCCCAUCCUGACCACUUUUAGAUUCGGUGGAAGGUACUUCUGAACAUAAAACAUUUUUAAUUAAUUACCAGUGGCUAACUAAAAGGAUAUCAUUUUAAAUUCCCUUUUAACUUUAUACUGAAAAAGCAAAAUAAAGUGGUCUUGUAGGCAGCAGCCAUAAGAAAAUCAAAAGAAAGCCAUUCUCUGUGGAAGAAAGGAUGCAGGGCCACCUGGGACCCCACCCAUUCAACUAUAUUCCAUGUUUCCUAGGACAAGAACUCCAAGCCAGGCAUACUUAUCUUCCUUGGGGAUUUAUCGUUGUGGCUGUUGCAUUCCAACAUUCUUUUCUCAGGAUUGACAGAGUUCUCACUAUCCAAUAUAGGACAAAGAGAAGAAAAGAAGAAGCAGACCCCAAACCCUGGCCUAUCCUGCAGGGAGAAAUAGGGCUUAGAAGUGAAAGCAAAGGGGGCAGCUAGAUGGUGCAGUGGAUAGAGCACCGGCCCUGGAGUCAGGAGGACCCGAGUUCAAAUCGGCCUCAGACACUUAACACUUACUGUCUGUGUGACCCUGAGCAAGUCACUUAACCCCAAUUGCCUCACCAAAAAAAAAAAAGAAGUGAAAGCAGAAGCAAUGUCAUUAUAGCUUCCAUAUAGGCCUUAAGAAAGUUGAAAACCUGGCCUAGCAGUAAAUGUCAUCACUCAUUACUACGGAUCCUUGCCUGCUUUCUAGCCCCUGGAAACUUUAGAAGCAAGGAUCCAUGUAGACCACGAUUAAAUUAACUCCACAAUACCCAAUUCCCUGGGGUCCUGAUGUCUCUAUCCCCCUGCCCUCCAUCUGUUUUUUCAUGUACUUACCUAAUAAGGUGUUGUAUAAGAUAGAUGGAUAAGAUGCCUCUAAUGGGUAUCCACCUAAGGCCCACCUUCACAAAUCAAGUUCUUUGCAACCAUCAUGAUUUAAGCCAAAAUAUCUGAUGUUUGCUCAGAUGAAGGAUGAAAGUGGGAUCACAAGGAGACAGUGGUCUAUACCAGUCUACCUUCAAAAGAUCAUGCGUGGUGUGAUUGGAACAUUUCUACAUUGGAAAAUUAUAAUAAUGUCUGUACUUUCAGGUCAUCUCAGUAAAAGCAAAUACUUAUAUGCUAAAACAAUAUUAUUUUGUAAAAAUCACUGGAACCUUCAGACAUAAAGAGUGAAAUGAGAGUAUUCUAGUGGACCAGUGUUCUAACAAAAGUAUUCCAUUGUAUCAUCAACACUCUUUUGUCCACUAUGAUUAAUAUUGAAUGACU